CUAAGUUUCAACAACGGAUCUCUUGGCUCUCGCAUCGAUGAAGAACGCAGCGAAAUGCGAUAAGUAAUGUGAAUUGCAGAAUUCAGUGAAUCAUCGAAUCUUUGAACGCACCUUGCGCUCCUUGGUAUUCCUUGGAGCAUGCCUGUUUGAGUAUCA
rnacentral:rRNA from 1 species